AAUGAUAUACCCUUUUUGAACCUUGACCUUAAACAGUAUGAAAACCCUUGAUUAAAUUGAUUUACCUUGAAAAGGUUCAAGUUUGGGGUUGAAUGAGGAAAGUGAAAGGUAAAAGACAAAAGGAAAGCAUUGAGUUCAAAAGAUGAAAAAAGAAUGAAAAAUGCAUGUGAAAAGAAAAGAAAAGAAGAAAAGAGAAAAAGCAUGUAAAGUGAACUCAAUGUAAAUGAAAAAGGGAAAAGUUGGGAAUGAGUGAGAUUGGUUAAAAAGAGAGUGUGCUUGAACUUUGAAUGAUGAUUUAAACUCUCUUAACUCAAGGAUUUUGUAUUCCAGAAAAACCAAUUUUUCUUAUUAGCCCA
rnacentral:lncRNA from 1 species